rnacentral:rRNA from 1 species
GAGAGGGAAACGCCCGGUCACAUUCCGAACCCGGAAGCUAAGCCUCUCAGCGCCGAUGGUACUGCAAGGGGGACCUUGUGGGAGAGUAGGACACCGCCGGAC